UGAACACAUGAGGCGAGAUCAGCGCAGUGAACCAUCACCUCCGUGUCGCCCACACAGGCGUGUUGCUUUCAUCAUUGAGACAAAGGACGGGAUGUGCAGUGAGGCCUAACGUGACGGCCCCGGGCGGUGAAGACGUUUCUGGUCGCUAAGGAGUCGGGAGGGACGCCGGUGACAGCUCUGCGACGCCAGCAGCUCCCGUGGCGUAAACACGCCGGAGCGCCGGACGGCUCAACCCGGAGACGUCUGCUUUAAAGCAGAUGAGUCGCGACGACGUAGAGUAAAGACUCACGAGGUGCUCUGACAUCAUGUCGACAUCGCAGCUUAACUCUGCACAAAGUCGGUGAGAUGAGUGCCACAACGUGUGAGCUGCUGUGUUUUCAAAUUCCACUGACGAUGAAGUACUGCCUCGAGUGCUUUUAUAAUACGGUUGCUUAUAAAUAGGAAGUAAAUAGCUGCCUUUCAGCACCAAAUGUUGUGUGUCGCAUUUCAUGAGCGUAGAGAAGUUGCCGCGCAACAGAGAAACAGCAUUGGAAACAUAACUUUUCCAAUGCUUUUGUUGAUGAUUAGCUAGGACGUCGAUUUUGGAUCUCGCACCAUCUCAUUCAUUCACAUCAUAUAACGACCACCUGAAUUAUCCUCUUUGGCUAAAAGGAUCCGGAAACCGGUCAUUUGCUGCGUUUUCCGGUCUUUUCCCGGCAAUCGCAAACCAGCUAAAAACUGAAAAGACAACUUUCACGGUCGCGCAAACUCUUAAUUUGAGUGUGCAGCGAUAUGGAACGCUCGGGUCAAUGUAAACAGGUACAGUACAUCAUGGGUCAGUAAAGCACUCCCCGUGACUCACUCUCAACCAAUCAGAGUGCCGGAUUUCAUCUACCCGUAUUAUAAUUGAGCAAUAAAGGCCUCAGAAGUGUGUGGUGUUUCUUAAUGUUUCGUUCCCUGUAACUAGCUCUAUCUCACAGGUUUGAACACGGGCAGCUUUUGGCAGAUAGCGGCUGCUUUUGGACCAGAUCCUGUUCGCUUUGAGGCGUUAAUGAACCGCUAGAUGAGCUCAGAAGUUUGAGGAUGACGGCGUUUUCAAACGCAUUAGUUAUUCCAGCAGCAAGUUGCUUUUGGAAUAAAAAAACACACUCUGCGUCCAGUAAAAGAAACUCCCCUUUUGCAGCUUUCUAUGCAUCUCCAAAAAAUGUUCAUGUUCAUUUAAUUGAGCUUGAGGGCCUGUCUGAGCUGAAUUUAUAGAAAUUGAUAUGCUGUGAAAGCUUAGCUGUUUCUUCCCAGUCUUUUAAAGAACUUCCAUUUCUUUAAUAAAUGAAUCCCAGUUGUUCCUCGUUCGCUCUGGAACUCUCCGGCUCAGUGUUCUGGAUAUUUUACACUCUAUUUGCGCGCGCUCAGUGAGGCGUCGCAGAGUCGUUUGUCACGGACACGCUGUCCUCCUGCACAUGCUGAUGAGGCUCGCGGUGGACUUUUCUCCAUCCGCUCACCUGCAGCCGAGGCACCUAAUUAUCCACGACAGAGGCGAUGGAACGUAUUCUUAAAUCAAGUUUGAUCCUUUUAUUUUUUUUUUUACGUUCCACCGCGUUCACAACGACCGCCAAGUGAAAUAAAACCGCUUCGCUUUGUUUUCAUUGCACAGAGAAAAUUAUGGAAUGAGAAAGGAGUGUUGUUUUUCUGUCGCCCCGAGGUGCGGCAGUUAGCUGCAGAAGACCGCACAUCGAACACAACAGCGCACACGAAAGGUCUCAGGGAUGAUUGAGCGUCAAGCAAUCAACAUUUUAAAGCAAUAAACGUUUUCCCCUUUCAGAAUGCGCCUCCACGAAAGAAGUUCAACGGCCGUUAAUCUUCAACCAUGUCUGCCUCGGGGGAUCAGCUGUCAGAGCAGCGCUCGGGCCCCUUUCCACAGCUUUUCUGUAUCGGUGACCGCGGACGGGUCAAACGGCGUUUUCGAGACAUAUUACAGUAACACAACACACAAACGAGACUCCUGACGCUCAGGAACCGCCUUAUCAAACAGCUCUUCUUUAAGUUCUUUAAGUUCUUUGUUCAGAGGAUUUUCAAAGAUGCUUCUUUGUAUCGGCUGCACACCUAAAACACCCACAAUCCUGUGCACACAAUGCAUUUCCUGCAAAUAGGAAGUGUGAAGGUCAUUCAUUUCAUGUCAGGAGUGGGUGAGAAUCUGGUUCUGAAUCAAUUUAAUGCAAAAAUACGCUAAUUUAUCAGCAGAAAACAUAUCGUAUUAGACCAGGCCUUAUGUUAAAGUCCUUACUUAUCUAAAAUCGAUAGACUAUUCUUUAAAGUAACAGCGUGCACGGGGGCUGGCUUUCAGCAAAAUAGCGCAUGAAGGAAAACCUCCCAGACACGACGGUGACUUUUAAUUUUCCGUGCUGACUCAGCAGUUUGAUGACGAAAACGUGAACAAAGCAGAGAAAAUGAGUUCUUCGUCCCUCCCGAAAGGCCCAAUGCCUCAUAAGUCGGUCUAGUGUGUCAGGAGGUUUCCUCCUUUUACUGCCGGCACAGCUGUCGAUGUUGACAAAUGGUUUUGAUUUCUCAGUCUCCUAAAAUCUAUCACUGCGACUGAAAGAACCCUGAGCGCUAUAGUCUCUAACAGCGAGCAUCCUCCAUCACUGAGCCUGCACACACUGCGACAUAACCACAUAGUUACAACCACCUAAACAAUCUAAAAAUGAUAUGAAAAUGUAUUAUCUUUGAUGCAUUUGGUGUCCAGGCUUACGCUGUCUUCCUCUGACUUAGUCAACGGUGCGCAAAACAGUAUUGCUGAUGUUUUGUUUGCUGUUGCUAGGAGACCAAUUAACAGCUCUGGUGAUGUGAUUCAUCACAACUGUAACAAUAAGAGGAAAUAUGGCGUUUGAAGUCGCCGGAGUGUGCGGCGCGUGUGCAGGGAAAAUGGCAAUAAACACCCUUUGAGUGAAGGUGAUAUGGACCGAAGCGGAACCGAGCAAAGGCCAAAACGCUUGGGUGUGGUGCGUCGCUUCCAGCCGUUGAGGGAAGAGUAGCAGAUGCCUCCGAGCACUACUCUGC
ensembl:lncRNA